GUUUAUUAGACAUGGGCACAAACCAAAAACAAAACUGAUACAGAGAAGAUUAGCAUGGCCCCUGCACAAGGAUGACACCAAAAAAACCCCAAACCUGAACCAGGAGGUU